AGUCAUCUCUAUCUGUCAAGGGUUUUAAAGAACGGAGGUUUUUCACAUAGACCCAGGCACAUCUAUUGCUGCUCUCCAGCAGCUGGAAUAUAUAACCAUUUACUUGGUGACAGCCAGUUUUGCAGCCUGUACAAACUAAUGCUAACUGCUUUAUUACUGGUGAAUACUGGACCUUAACUUUUAAAGACCCAGCUAGUGUUGCUGGAGGGGUAGCCUAGCCUGGGCAGCAGGCUGUGCUCUUAUGACCUACCCAUCUCUAUGCACUAGCUGUUUCAUUGUGCCAUGGAAAUAACCUUAAAAGCAGAAAUACCGUGCUCUUUGUCCAGACACCAAUGACUUAUCAGGUGAUAAAUGCGAGCCUGUUGUGAUCCGCGUUAAUAAGGGCAGCCAGCUGUAUUAUUCUCAGCUGUUCCAGGAGAGUGAGCCAAACCAGCUGUGUAGGUGAGGGUGCAGAGCCAGCACAGGGAAUUGGUCCUAAUGAAUACAAGAUUGAUCAAACUCCCUCCAAAAACCAACCCUUUUGAUGAUGUGAAACAUGGAUUUCCUAAAAUAUGAAAGGAAUGAUUUGUUCUACCGUUGUUAAUGGCUGAAGGCAAAUAAUCAGGAGACUGAAUUAACAAAACUACUACUACCUUCAUACUGCUGCGGCUGAAGGCUCUCCUGGGAGCUCACUGACUCAUAAGAAUGUUGCUCAUCCUUUUCAGCCCAUCUAGGAGAACAGCAUGUGCAGAGUUCUUCUCCAGUCGCCCUGACAACGACAAGGCUAAUGAACAUGACUGCAAGGUUGGACAAGUCAGAGCUCCAGAGAUGACUGACUUCUGCAGAAGGUAAAACCUACACCUGAGAGGGAGCAGAUGAGGAAACAGCACAGAAUUACAAUCGCUGCCAUGGAGAAAGUAUUUAAACUAGAGACCGUGAGUGAAAGAGGUCUGACAGAAAGGAAAAAUGAAAUGUAGAUCUCACAUCAGAAAAGAAGAAAUACACAGUAAACAACUUCUUGAGGAUACCGAAAUGUAAUAAGCAAUUUUUAAUAUGGUUUGUUUGUACAUUUUUCAUCUUCUUUUUAUUACAAUUUUGGUUAUGAUUUAGCUUCCAGGCCAUUCCCUCCAUAAAAUCCAGACAAACUGCUUCAUGCUGCUAUUUAUAAUAAAUGACUGGGGGAAAAAAAAAAAAGAAAAAAGACUUCAGUGAACAAGUUGGUAUAGUUAAAAAAUAUUUUUUGGUGGAUGAUAUUUGUUUCGCUUGUCACUACUCACCAUUUCUCAAGGCCCCGAGGAUUUAACACUUUUUCAGAUGGUACUUCUUACCUUUCAGCAGUACAUUUAUUUUCACAGUAGAUACGACUGUUUGCAGGAGUGGGCAUAGAACAGAUACUAUGAACCAAAAUUCUUCAAAAGCAGAAAAUAAAUGAAUCCAAGUGCUCAACAGAAAUGGAAAUUUAACCCCAACCUUUAUAAAUAUGUGCUAUGAUACCAAAAUGAAUUUGCACUGGGGGACAAGAUUUAUCUCUUUUUUGCCUCCAUUCUCCUGCACCUGAUAACAUAUUUUUUGUGGGACCUAUCUAUCUGCAGAAAUAUUUUCAGACCUUGCCAUUUGCCUUUGAUCCACGUACUGACUUGGAUGAACUGAUGAUGAAUUGGUGAUGAAUCCCAUCCAACCUUCACCUGACUUCCAUGUGCUGCUGUGCUCUUGUCUGUGACCCAGCACUGUCUGUCCUCAGCCACCCUCCACCUCCUGAUGCUCCUCUCCAGCAGUAACAUUCUUCUCAUCUCUGUGUCAUUGUUCCUGUCCUGAGCUUUUGUUCCUUCAGCUUAUUUCCCCCUGCAGCUCUUCUACUCGCCAAAAUCUUUCCUCCCUUCCACCCAGUGACUCCUGAUCUUCCUAUCCUGCCAGUCUCAGCUUCUCUUCCCACCCUUGUGCCUAGUCAGGCCAGGCAGUCCCACAGUUUUUGUCUUGUUCAAAUUCUGUAAGUCCAGCCCUUGUCCCACCCUGCUUAAAACAAAGCUUUGGACGAGGUCAUGUGGUAUGUAUGGAGAUCUUGGAGUUCACCCGGAGCCAUGGAGGAAAUAAUGGAAAGCAAGCUUUUAUAAUGGCACUUGUGGAAAAGCAUUUUUAACUAGAGAUGAACUAGUAUUCAUAUGUUUAUAAAUUAUUUUCUAUACAUAUUUUACCGUAUUUUUUUUUUUACUAACUGUAUUUUUGCUAUCUGGAGUAGUGUCCACUGAUUACACAGAAGUGAAUGUUUUUGAAAGAAUUUGAAGUGCAAAUUGAGGUCGUAU
ensembl:lncRNA